CCUACGGGGGGCAGCAGUGAGGAAUAUUGGUCAAUGGACGAGAGUCUGAACCAGCCAAGUAGCGUGAAGGAUGACUGCCCUAUGGGUUGUAAACUUCUUUUAUAUGGGAAUAAAAUGUUCCACGUGUGGGAUUUUGUAUGUACCAUAUGAAUAAGGAUCGGCUAACUCCGUGCCAGCAGCCGCGGUAAUACGGAGGAUCCGAGCGUUAUCCGGAUUUAUUGGGUUUAAAGGGAGCGUAGGUGGAUUGUUAAGUCAGUUGUGAAAGUUUGCGGCUCAACCGUAAAAUUGCAGUUGAAACUGGCAGUCUUGAGUACAGUAGAGGUGGGCGGAAUUCGUGGUGUAGCGGUGAAAUGCUUAGAUAUCACGAAGAACUCCGAUUGCGAAGGCAGUUCACUGGACUGCAACUGACACUGAGGCUCGAAAGUGUGGGUAUCAAACAGGAGUAGAUACCCUUGUAGUC
rnacentral:rRNA from 1 species